rnacentral:tRNA from 1 species
GGAGGAGUGCCAGAGUGGUUGAAUGGGGCCGCCUCGAAAGCGGCUGGGCUCGUAAGGGCCUCGAGGGUUCGAAUCCUUCCUCCUCCGCCA